rnacentral:rRNA from 1 species
AUUGAACGCUAGCGGGAUGCCUUACACAUGCAAGUCGAACGGAGUGGCGAACGGGGGAGGAAUGUAUGGGAACGUGCCCGUGGGCGGGGGAUAAAUACGCGGAGGCGUAGCUAAUAACGCAUACUAUUGGAGCGGCCGCUGUCGGCUUAGCUAGUUGGUGGGGUAACGGCUCACCAAGGCGACGAUCCGUAGCUGGUUUGAGAGGACGACCAGCCACACUGGGACUGAGACACGGCCCAGACUCCUACGGGAGGCAGCAGUGGGGAAUUUUGGGCAAUGGGGGAAACCCUGACCGAGCCACGCCGCGUGUGCGAUGAAGGCUUUCGGGUUGUAAAGCACUGUUGGCAGGAAAGCGGUACCUGCAGAAUAAGCACCGGCUAACUACGUGCCAGCAGCCGCGGUAAUAC